UACGUAGGGGGCAAGCGUUGUCCGGAUUUAUUGGGCGUAAAGAGCGUGUAGGCGGCCCAACAGGUCAGCUGUGAAAACUCGAGGCUCAACCUCGAGACGUCGGUUGAAACCGUAUGGCUAGAGUCCGGAAGAGGAGAGUGGAAUUCCCGGUGUAGCGGUGAAAUGCGCAGAUAUCGGGAAGAACACCCGUGGCGAAGGCGGCUCUCUGGGACGGUACUGACGCUGAGACGCGAAAGCGUGGGGAGCAAACAGG
rnacentral:rRNA from 1 species